AAGUUAUCAAUGUUCUGAGAAAAUGUGUAAAGGUCAGGAGAAAAGUAGAAUUUUAAACGAAAUGUUUAUACUUCGCUUUGAAGCUUCGUAACAUACGCGUCUUUUUUUAUCAAUGAGACCAAACUCAUUUCUGUAGUGAUAAAUUUAGUUGUUGAAGGAAAUGGAAGAAAGAAUGAGAAAAAUAUAUAAAUCUAUAUAAAUGGCAAUCAUAAAGAUCAAGUAAGUUAUAUAUUCUUGUUUUUGCUAGUUACAUCGUCGGAAGGAUAAUAUCACAAUACAAAAUAGAAUAACACCUUCACAUUUAUUAGAAAUUUCUUACCUGUUUGAUUUAUUAAAGAUUUCCAAGAUUUAAAGACUGCCAAGUAAAUAAAAGCUUAAAUUAUAAAAAAAGAAAAAUAUUUCCAUCGAUAAAUAGCCGAAUAAUUAACUAUAUACGUUCAUAAUUUCUAUUUCAAACCGAUUUCCUGAAAAAAUAUACUUUUCCUAAUUGUAUCACUCUUCUAAUAAACCAACAUAUGUACAAA